rnacentral:rRNA from 1 species
AUGGCAGGAAUGGCACCGGAAGGUUCCCAGUUUGACGCUAAGAACUAUGAUUCUAAGAUGCAGGAGCUGCUGAGCCAAGGUGAGACUGAGGAGUUCUUCACCUCCUAUGAUGAAGUUCAUGAGAGCUUUGAUGACAUGGGUCUCCAAGAGAACCUCCUCAGAGGAAUUUAUGCUUAUGGUUUUGAGAAGCCUUCUGCCAUCCAGCAAAGGGGAAUCGUUCCUUUCUGCAAGGGGCUUGAUGUUAUCCAGCAAGCACAAUCUGGAACAGGAAAGACUGCUACUUUCUGUUCUGGAAUCCUUCAACAGCUUGACUAUGGUUUGGUUGAGUGCCAGGCCUUGGUCCUUGCUCCCACACGUGAGCUUGCACAGCAAAUUGAGAAGGUCAUGCGUGCACUUGGUGACUACUUGGGUGUGAAGGUUCAUGCAUGUGUUGGAGGAACCUCAGUUCGUGAGGACCAAAGGAUUCUUGCAAGUGGAGUGCAUGUCGUUGUUGGUACUCCUGGUCGUGUGUUUGACAUGCUCCGCAGGCAGUCUCUGCGCCCUGACAACAUCAAGAUGUUUGUCCUCGAUGAAGCUGAUGAGAUGCUUUCCCGUGGUUUCAAGGAUCAGAUUUAUGACAUCUUCCAGCUUCUCCCAGGGAAGAUUCAAGUUGGUGUCUUCUCUGCCACCAUGCCCCCUGAAGCCCUUGAGAUUACCCGCAAGUUCAUGAACAAGCCAGUGAGGAUCCUUGUCAAGAGGGAUGAGCUCACCCUUGAGGGUAUCAAGCAGUUCUAUGUCAAUGUGGAGAAGGAAGAGUGGAAGCUCGACACACUGUGUGACCUGUACGAGACUCUUGCCAUCACCCAGAGUGUCAUCUUUGUGAACACCCGCCGCAAGGUGGACUGGCUCACCGACAAGAUGAGGGGCAGGGACCACACCGUCUCCGCCACUCACGGAGACAUGGACCAGAACACUAGGGACAUCAUCAUGAGGGAGUUCAGAUCAGGUUCUUCACGUGUGCUCAUCACCACUGACCUGCUUGCUCGUGGUAUUGAUGUCCAGCAAGUGUCCCUUGUCAUCAACUAUGACCUCCCAACCCAGCCAGAGAACUACCUGCAUCGCAUCGGGCGUAGUGGUCGGUUCGGGAGGAAGGGUGUGGCCAUCAACUUUGUGACCCGUGAAGAUGAGAGGAUGCUGUUUGACAUCCAGAAGUUCUACAACGUGGUGAUUGAAGAGCUCCCAGCCAACGUUGCCGACCUUCUGUGA